UCGACUGAAGAGAAAGAAAGGGAUAGAGAGAGAUCGAGAGAGGAAGAGCCCGAGAAAGUUGAUCAAAACAUAUUUGGGCUACAUUUUACAGAUCAAUCAAGAUGGGGACUUCAAUCGAAAUUGGGGUUUUUUUAGUUUAAUUGGGGUUUUUUUGGUUAAUCCUCUGCAAGAGUUUAAUUGAAGUUCAUUUUUUGUUUCAGGGCUAAUUUGGUUGAUAUGGGUUUUAAUUGAAUUUUGCAUCUUUCGCUUCUAUAGUUCAAGGUACAUCCUCUCCUUGAUUUCAUGUAUAUAUGCUUUGUGUAUCACCAAUUUCUUUUGGGCUAUUGUAAACAUCAUUGGCAUAUGUAAUGGCUUAGAUGUGUGUUUACUUGAGUUUGUAUAUCGAUUAUUUGUUAUUAUUUGGGUCUAAUUUUUAAUAAACUAGGGUUUAUGUUCUUAAUUAGGUCGUAAGUUUGUUUAAUUAAGAGUUGGUAAUAUAGAGAUUUUGUUUGUUUUUGAAUGUAUGCCCUGUUUAUAUGUGAGCCUGUUUUAUAUGUGUGCUAUGUUUUACAAGUGGGAGCAGAUAAACUGACACAUUGUUGUAAUCGCUCCAUCUGAUGAAUCGGAGCUGCUACAUGGGGUAAGUUUUGGUAGCCUUUUUAGACUAUAUACUGGCCUGCUCAUAGAUUGGUGAUCAACACUAGAUGUAUUUUAAAAUUUGUGCAAGGUGAAAGUAUAACCGAAGAUCAACACUAGUUAUGAGUUAUGACUAUGAGCUUCCCCUAAUCUUGUUAUUUUGAGAUUAUUUGGUAUGACAAGCACAUGUUUGUGUUGGUUGUGUCUUUCUGUUUUGUUUUUUAGAGUCACUUAAUUCUGUUAAUGUUCUUAAAGUAUAUUAUCUUAUAAUACCAGAACUAAACUACUUCGCUGAGCAGUGGAUGAGUUUCAGUUACCCAGUUUUCAUUUUGAUGGACUGUCCCGUGUUUUUGAUGAUGUAAUAUAUUUCACUUUUUCUGCUGAUAACAUUGUCGAUAGUAUGAAAAUAUGUAAUAUUGUAUACCAUUCCAUUGGUGGAGCCAGAUGUUAGCGGAACAUGAGCAAUCUUUCUGUAUACACGUGUCUUAACAUCCUGGAAACUAAUUUAAUACUUAAUAAUUCAUGACUAUUUUCUAGCACUUGAUCAUCUAGCUUAGAAGCCAGAGAGUGUAAAGCAGAAUACAGUAUCAAAUAGGACAUUGUCUUAAAAACCAUAUUAAUCCCAAUUUGUUGUCUUAGUAUAUACAACAUUCAGUAUUAACUGUAGAGGCUUUCCCUUGCUCCUCUCGAUACGCUGCUGUACCUGUGCCACAGGUUUUUCUAUAGUAGGAACAGUUAUAACCUUAAUGUUUGCCAAGUUAUAUUGGCACAUUCAUCAUUCUUAGUGUGCCUUUCCCGGCUUUCCAUAAAAUUCUCUUUUAGAAGUGUGUUGCUGAAUAUAAGGCCCUAGUGUAGUGUAGCUUUUUAUUUUUUUUUCUUUUGGUCUUCUUUAACUAAUUAUGCUUUAGGGAGAUAACAGAUUAAUUAUAAUUUAAUUAAGUUAAUAGAGUUAAAACCAAAAUUUAGUUGUAUAUGUUAAUAGAUUAAUUUUUUUUCUUGUAGUGAAUUAUAUUUGGCUAAACCACAUGUAGUCGAUUAAUUGACUAUAUAUGGCUUUUAGCAGGUAUGUGACUGCUGGAACUAGUUGGUUGAAUGGUAACUUUGGUAACGUGGCAAAGGCUGGUGGUACAAAAACUAGAGCAAAAUGGAGUAUGGCGUUAUCGAAUUUGACUG
rnacentral:lncRNA from 1 species